rnacentral:rRNA from 1 species
GAGUUUGAUCAUGGCUCAGAUUGAACGCUGGCGGCAUGCCUUACACAUGCAAGUCGAACGGCAGCACGGGAGCUUGCUCCUGGUGGCGAGUGGCGAACGGGUGAGUAAUGCAUCGGAACGUAUCCUGGAGUGAGGGAUAACGUAGCGAAAGUUACGCUAAUACCGCAUAUUCUGUGAGCAGGAAAGCGGGGGACCUUCGGGCCUCGCGCUCUUGGAGCGGCCGAUGUCGGAUUAGCUAGUUGGUGAGGUAAAGGCUCACCAAGGCGACGAUCCGUAGCAGGUCUGAGAGGAUGAUCUGCCACACUGGAACUGAGACACGGUCCAGACUCCUACGGGAGGCAGCAGUGGGGAAUUUUGGACAAUGGGGGCAACCCUGAUCCAGCCAUGCCGCGUGAGUGAAGAAGGCCUCGG